rnacentral:lncRNA from 1 species
GGUAAUGUCUGAGGGGUCCUAUGACAGAGGCCUGCUGUGAACAACUUCAAUAAUGAUUCAUUCAUGUUCUGUUUUCCGCUUCAGGUUGGCCCAAUGAAAGAUGUCAGUCAGGACGGCUCCCUUCUUGAUAACUGUGACUCUCUUCUGUCUGGCAGCGGGUCAGAGGCCGUUCACUGUGAAUGUGAGCAGGGAGAACCACCAGGCAGUGGAACACAGUAACACCACGCUGACAUGGCUCUUCCCUGUCAGUACCGACAUGUCUUCCGCCUCACUGCACAUACAUAUUCGGAGCGUGGACCCGCUAAGGACGGUUUUCCUCUAUGACAGUCCGCCUGAGGCUGAGCCAUAUCAAGAUGAAGACUACAGAGGCCGGGCCUGGUGUGAUCCAGAGCUCGCCAGGAAAGGACGGAUCGAGUGUCUCCUGACUGAUCUGAGGCUCAGCGACACAGGCUCCUAUCAGUGUAUUGUUGCCGUUAAUAGAGAUUCCAACCACAAGGCGUGUCACCUCAAUGUUACAGGUAAGAUGUCAUCACUGACGAGUUGAAUGUUGUUUGACAGUCAUGGGAUGAACAUUGAUAUUAACCCAGUUAAACCGGGGCCACUGUGUUAUUAGUGACACGAAUUAGCAAAGCUCCACUGUUGUCCCAUUCUUUUAAUAUGAUGUGUUCAAGGGCCUGAUUGUGGACGUCGGGAACGACAGACAGACAUGUAGUGUAACAUAACUGAAGAACAGUGAUGUUGCAUCUGGGAUGCUCCCCAACACCUCGAUGACAAUUCUGGCAUGUCAGAAUGUUUAGUAUCUUCCUACCUAGUUUGACAUCUCCUACAAUGAGAUUAUUGACUUUGAUCAAUAGGAUGACAGAGUGCUGUGACACAUGCAAACACGGUGAAGAGGCAGAGGGAUGCUGCUGUCAGUAAUGUAAAGAUUCUGACAUGUACACGUUCAUUAACUUUCCUCUAGUUCAACCAAGUCUUCCAACCAAGACAUGUAUGUCUCUGUGACUGCUUGAUCUGACACGGUGACCAUCGUGAACGACAUCAAAAUUGUGUAGUUUGAUCCCAGCCUUACCCACAGUGCACCAGUGUUGAUUUGAUUUAACAACUGCAUCAUGUGUGUCAAGAUACCUCUUCACUGCACGCUGAUGGAAAGUCAGGUGAAGUUUCCUCAAAACAUUUCUGCAGGUUCGCAGCAAAAAAACUGAUGCAGCUUUCUGCUCAACAACUGAAGCAGCUGGAGACUUGUUUUAAAUGUUAGAAAAGAAAAAGAACAAACAGUUGGUUUCUAAUCAGCUUUGUCAGCCAAUUAUAUGAUAUUUCAUGAGUAUCACGUGGUGUCUGUGUGUCAGUAUCAACAGUCUUGGUAGCUGCCAGUUUGUGGAGUGAUGAUUUUCCCAGUUGUUGUAAUUAAAGUCAAACCUCAUCAACAUCGUCUCAUCAAGACCAACAUGGAGCCAACUGGGCUCAGAGAAGGUCGUGAACAAGAUGAACAUCACAAGGAAUCUGCUCAUACUGACAACUGAAGUUCUGGUUCCUGCUCAGUUCUGUGAGCUGCUGAUAUAAUUGAGCAGCUCUACAAUGUUUAAGUCAGGAGACGACGUCACUAACGACACUGUAUCGUCUUUAUAAUGACGUAAUUUCACCGUCUGAUGUUUCAAUAGUUUGAUGAUGAACUGACAAACAUCAUCUGUGUGAUUCAUGACACAGUUUAAACAGAUCAGUAAAUAAUUUGUCUCUCUUUAUUCACUGACAUACAAAGUUUUUAUGAAAUAAGGUCCCAUGGGUCCACCGGAAGGGGCGUGGCUUCAGGGCUGAAGAAUCAAUUACCAAAUUAUGAUACAUUAUUUUUUGAUGAAACAACUCAGAAGUAUAUAAAGUUAUUAUUUAUUUAUGACCACCUUAUCAGCCACAACAUUAAAGUCAUGCUCACAUAUUAAUGCUAUAAUAAUAUGUAUAAUUAUAAUCCUUUAUUUCCUGUUGACAGAAAUCUGGAGAUGGUGGUUAAUAUUUGUUGAAUCUCUUCACAGCUGCCAGCAGUCAAGCAGUGACUGAGCCCUCAAAGCCAGCGAGCCGAGGAAGGAUCGGACUCUAUGCAGGUUUUGGUUUGUUUACAGCAGUAAAAGCAGCACUUGUAGUUUACUUGACUUACAAACACUUUAUAAUGAGAAGUACUCUAACAAGGCAAACACCUGUGAAGUAAUGUGUUUUAUAUUUUGGUUAGGGAUGCACGAUAUGGAUUGUUUAUACUGACCAAAUAACCUAUAAUUUCACAUUUUUAUAUUUUGGAAAGAAAUGAACAAUAGCAGCCGCUUGAGCGUGAAAACAGCGCUCUUCUUCUCCUCGUCCUUCUUCUUCUUCUUCUUCUCCUCAUCCUUCUUCUUCUUCUUCUUCUCCUCGUCCUUCUUCUUCUUCUCUGUUAAUUGGCAGAUCACAAAAACAUUUCCAAUUAUUGCCUAUAUUUUCACAGAUAUUAUUAAUAGCUGAUACAUUUCACACUAUAAGGCCAAUAAUUCAUCAUGCAUCCCUAAUUUUGGUUUGUUAAAUACCUCAAGCAUAGAAGAGUGAAUUGGAUUUGUCAUCCUGGUGCUAUUGUUAUACCUCAGUCAGUCUACUCAGUAGAAGUGAGACCACAACAGUUGGUCUGUGUUUUCAUUUAAGCCAUCCUUUUUCUUUUCAUGUUAAUUAUUAACAGAUUAUUUGCAGUCACAGAUUUCGAUGGUGUGAAUUUCAGGUGUGGAGCGGAAGUGAAAAGUAGAACGGAAAGAAAAAAGCUACAGUUCUUAUGUGUUGUUGUUCAUUUACAACAAAUAACUUUAACAUUACAAAGUAAGGAAACAGUUAGCUCCCGAAUGUUUGAGACAUUGAAGACAAUGGAUGGUAAAAAUCCAGAGACAUCAGUCAGUAUUUCAAUAUAAAACAGCAUAUUUGAUCAACAUCAGUUUCUGUUAAACAACAGCUAAUAUUAGCAAUUCAACUGCCAACAUAAUCUGUCUUCUAACGGAAGCUAAUGUUUAUCAAAUAUGUUGUUGUACCUUGAAAUAUGGCCUGACGUCCCACUAGAUCUUCAGUCUCCAUCACCACAUCAGUUGCUGGUCAUUGCAAAGUGGUGAAAUGGAAAAUUGUUGUCAGAUUACCACAUUUAUACAAGUUGCAAACUAGAAAACAGCAACAUUACAUUAUUCCAGCAUUCAAGCAUCGCACCCUGAACCUGAUGUCAGGGUAAAAUGUGUGAAUAUGGUCUAAGUAAUUAUUUUAACAGGAGCCUUGUGUGUCACUACAUGUAUUACUCUGAAUCAUAAAUCACUUCCUGCCUUCCAUCUGCAGUUUGCGCCAUUAGCUACGGAAUGACGUGACAUCCUAUGCAAACAAAGUUUUUUGCCUCGCUACCUCACCAAGAUAUUAAUGUGAAACACUCCGUUUUACCUCUUCUUAUGCUGCUGUUGCUGCUAUGUGUAAUCUGUUUAUAAGGAAUACUUUAGACGUUCAAACGUGGAUAGUGAAGGGUAAAACAGAUGUGCAACACAGCUAAAAAGGUACAGUAACUACCUUUAUGUUUGACUUUCUGGCCGUCUGUAUCAUCAAAACUCAGCAGCACUGUCGAGACAGUAUUCCUGCCGAUCAAAGGUGAACACUGGUGUUUCAGAAGAUGCCAAAGUUGAACACAUUUUGAAUAUUUUGAAAUUACUUACUUGGAGAUGUGCCAGAGUGAUUUCAUUAUAAUUUCCUCAUUGGUCAUGUUAAGAAUUCUGAUGUGUCCAGGCCUCCAGUACCUCAGUCGAACCUGUUUUCUGUCCUUUCAGAAUGAGGCAUUUCCUCCCUUACCUCUCGCCAGACAUGUGACUCAAGUCAUUUGCUGCACUUUAAUGUAAAAGUUAUCAACACGUUGAGAUUGUCGACAGAGACCUUUUAACUGAUGUUAAACUAUCCUCAUGGAUCUCUGCCUCGACACCAAGUUCAAAUCAUGGAUGUAUUACGAAUCAAUUUUUCAUCUCAAUGUUACACUAAUAUUCUUCCGUGCUACCUCCCAGAGUAACGAUGCUUCGGUGAUUGAAGGUGAAUGAAUGAUCUUUGAUUCUUUUAUCCUCAUCUGUAUUUUUGUUUCUCAUUUGCUCUUUUGUAAGAUGAUGUUUCAUACUGUAUGUAGAGUGUGGUCUUUGGUUUCUAGUUAUUUCUUUGUAUCUUUCUAUCAAUCUUCUUAUGAUGUCAUACAUUGUAACUCCUGCAUAUGAAACACUUGAAUCAGCUGUACAACAGACUGAUUAAUCUGACUUCAAUAAACAGAUUACUAAAACAGAUGAACUUGUGAGUCAUUUGCGGACGACGCCAUGUUGAGAGGACAGGAAACAGUGAUCUGCAAUACA